UUGCAAAAACAGCAGUCGUUUUCAUUAAACAGUUUAAAUAAAGUAUAUAUUCAAUCGAAUAUUAGAUAUCGUGAGACAUUAGCAGACACAACAAAACAAGAACUCUUAAAAACAUAACAUGGAUUUUAAACUUGUGUUUAUAAUGUUUAUUUUAGGAGGGAUCACGGUGGCCGGGGCGUCAGGAGACGACGACUGUGACGGAGCUGUGUCAACAUCCGGGGGACGACUGGUUGUCGCCGCCUGCUUGUUCAUGCAGAUGGCCAUCAUGGUUCUCCGGAAGUACAUCACGUAAUGGCGGAGGAACGUACAUUCCCCGGAGUUCAACGAAUACCAUCAGAAACAAAUUCCGUCCAGAAAUAUUUAUUCUGUACUUAUUAAUGAAAAACAAUAAUAAAUGCAUUACGUAGA